GGGGAAAUGGCAGAAUGGUAAUGCGGCAGACUUGAAAUCUGUGGCCCGCCCUUGAGACGGUGUGGGUUCAAAUCCUACUUUCCCCGCCA
rnacentral:tRNA from 1 species